rfam:Chlorocebus sabaeus isolate 1994-021 chromosome 8, whole genome shotgun sequence.
AAAUCAGACGAGAAGACCCUGUGGAGCUUUAAUUCAUUAAUACAAAUAAAACUCAAGCCUACAGGCGCUAGCCUACUCCCCCUGCAUUAAAAAUUUUGGUUGGGGUGACCUCGGGGCAUAAUCCAACCUCUGAAGGACCUAAACUAAGACCACACUACUCUAAGUGAAUUAAUACACAUUGACCCAAUAAUUUAAUCAAUGGAAUAGGUUACCCUAGGGAUAACAGUGCAAUCCUAUCCUAGAGUCCAUAGCAACCUGACUACCUCACUGUUGAAUCGGGACAUCCUAAUGGUAUAGCCACUAUUAAGGGUUUGUUGCUCAACAAUUAAAGUCAUACGUGAUCUGAGUUCAGACCAGAGUAAUCCAGGUCUGUUUCUAUCUAUUU